rnacentral:misc_RNA from 1 species
GGAACACCAAGACUCCGGGCUGAAAUUUUAACAUUAAAAGGUGCAAUCGUAGAUUAAGGUAUUCAAUGUUGUGUAGGAUGGCGCCAAAGUGGGUGUGGAUGGGAGUUGCAAUGGUGUUAGCAGAGAUGAGGUGGUGUUAUGGUUGUUGGGAGCAAGAGAGAAUUGCUCUCUUACAGCUUAAGCCUUUCUUCGAUAGUUCUCUCACUCUGCAAAACUGGGCAGAUGCAGAGGAGGGCUCAGACUGUUGUCAAUGGGAAAGGGUCGAGUGCAGUAGCACCACAGGGAGAGUGACCCAACUCUCUUUAAAUAAUACAAGGGAUUUGAUUUCUGGGAAGUGGUAUCUUAAUGCCUCUCUGUUUCUUGCUUUUGAAGAAUUGACUAGUCUCUACUUGAUGGGGAACUUAAUACUGGGUUGUGAGAAUGAAGGUUUUGAAAGAUU